AUUGAACGCUGGCGGCAUGCCUUACACAUGCAAGUCGAACGGUAACAGGUCUUCGGAUGCUGACGAGUGGCGAACGGGUGAGUAAUACAUCGGAACGUGCCUAGUAGUGGGGGAUAACUACUCGAAAGAGUGGCUAAUACCGCAUGAGAUCUACGGAUGAAAGCAGGGGAUCGCAAGACCUUGUGCUACUAGAGCGGCCGAUGGCAGAUUAGGUAGUUGGUGGGAUAAAAGCUUACCAAGCCGACGAUCUGUAGCUGGUCUGAGAGGACGAUCAGCCACACUGGGACUGAGACACGGCCAAGACUCCUACGGGAGGCAGCAGUGGGGAAUUUUGGACAAUGGGCGCAAGCCUGAUCCAGCAAUGCCGCGUGCAGGAUGAAGGCCUUCGGGUCGUAAACUGCUUUUGUACGGAACGAAAAGCCCCGGGUUAAUACCCUGGGGUCAUGACGGUACCGUAAGAAUAAGCACCGGCUAACUACGUGCCAGCCGCCGCCGUAA
rnacentral:rRNA from 1 species